rnacentral:rRNA from 1 species
UACGGGGGGAGCAAGCGUUGUUCGGAUUUACUGGGCGUAAAGGGCGGGUAGGCGGCCACCGCAAGUCGACUGUGAAAUCUCCGGGCUUAACCCGGAAAGGUCAGCCGAUACUGCGGGGCUAGAGUGCAGAAGGGGCAACUGGAAUUCUCGGUGUAGCGGUGAAAUGCGUAGAUAUCGAGAGGAACACCUGCGGCGAAGGCGGGUUGCUGGGCUGACACUGACGCUGAUGCGCGGAAGCUAGGGGAGCGAACGGG